CCUCCGCCACUCCGCCACUCCGCCGGAGCGAGUCUCUCUCCUCUUCUCUUGGGAUGGGACGCCUUCUCUCCUCUGCUCCCAGCCGGAUCCAAUCCACCUCGCCCCGGCAUGCAGCCACGGAAGGCCAGGUCCGUGCGCCUCUUUCCCAUGGCCAUGGAGUCGCCGCAGCCGCCAUGGAAUGCCUGGAUGUCGUCAAGAUGCACGCAGGUGCAGCACCUACACCGAUGGCUGCUCUUGAGACACAGACAACAUAGGAGAGGACAAGUCCAGAAUUGCUAGACUGAAUCUAUCCAUCUGCUCUGCUCUCGGGACAACAGAGGAGAGGACGAGUCCAGAAUUGCUUGACUGAAUCUAUCCAUCUGCUCAGCUCAGUUCAUGCAGAGGCUAGAGACAUAGCAAUCGUCAGGCUUCAGUUUUGUACUGACCACUCCAAGGCUUGUUCAACCUGGUGAAUCUUUCCUUCAUCUGCAUCAUUUUUCGCUUCAGU